ensembl:lncRNA LINC01585 long intergenic non-protein coding RNA 1585
GGAAGCCAGCCACCAUGUUGUGAAGAUACUCAAGCAGCCCUAUGGAGAGGCCCACACACUGGGGAGGCACUGCGGCUUUCUGCCGACAGCCUUGUGAAUGAGACACCUUGAAAGAGGAUCCUCCAGCCCCAGCCAAGCUUUCAAAUGGUUCCAACUCUGACAUGCUGACAACUUCAUGAGAGGCCCUGAGCCAGAACCACCCAAACUCCUGACCCAUUAGUGUGUUAUGUAACAAAUGUUUGUUGUUUCAUGCCACUAAGUUUUGGGGCAAUUUGCUACCUCUAGCCAUUGUUCCCAGCUGGUGUGUAGUCUGACUGGCAGGUGCCCAUGCUUUAUUAGUGGUUUGAUAUUUUGACUAUCGGCCCUGAGUAGGAGGAAUGACACAGAGAGGAGAUAGAGUUGUGAGUGAGAGGAGGCCAAAUCGUGGUGUCAGAGCGAGAAGCAGCACCCUGGGGAGGGCUGAGUCACUUGUGCUGUCUGGAGGAAGGCGGAGCAAAGAUCUGCAGCCCAGCUGACUGUGGUCUCAGCUUUUCUAGCCUCCAGGCUUUCUCCCGGGUUCCUAAGUCUGUAUGUGCUCACUGGAAAUGCCCCAUGACUUGGGGUGACAUGGAAAAAAUUCAAACUUAGAUGAUUUCCGAAGAUCUUAAUAAUCAGGACAACCGUGAACUUCUCAUGCAACCGUCAAUGCCUGAGACAAUGGAGUGAAAGCUACCAGAUCCUUAAGAGAAAAGUGUCCCCCAGGACUCUUAAAGCCACCAGCCCUGAUGUUGGCCACGGGAAAAGACAAUCAAGGAAAAUCUCCGACCUUCGGUGAAAUGCAGAGACUAAGGGACCCCUGUGCUGCGUGUGAUGCGAUUUUGAGAGAAAAAAAAAAAAAAAGGCCAGGUGUGGUGGCUCACGCCUGUAAUCCCAGCACUUUGGGAGGCCCAGACAGGAGGAUCCCUUGAGCUCAGGAGUUAGAGACCAUUCUGGGCAACAUGGCAAAACCCUGUCUCUACAAAACAAAACAAAACAAUACAAAACAAAACAAACAGAAAAAUAGCCAGGUGUGGUGGCACGUGCCUGUGGUCCCAGCUACCCUGGAGGCCUAGGCGGGGAGAUCGCUUGAGCCUGGGAGGUCGAGGCUUCAGCGAACCAAGAUCACGCCACUGCACUCCAGCCUGGGCCACAGAGCAAGAUUGUCUUAAAAAUAAAACAAAACAAAAACUAA